GCUUGAAGUGGUUGUAACUUACGCGCAAGCCGGUAGAAUGGCGCGGCCUACCCGAGGGUAGGCUGCAAUGGUGGCCCUGUCGGUCCCCCCGCAACGAUUACCCGUCAACCUGGUCAGGUCCGGAAGGAAGCAGCCACAGCGGGAACAUCGUGUGCCGGGGUGUGGCUGGCGGGGCCGCCUCCAUUUCAGGCCCGCCAUUUUUCGCAGGC
rnacentral:sRNA from 1 species